rnacentral:rRNA from 1 species
AUACGUAGGGUGCGAGCGUUGUCCGGAAUUACUGGGCGUAAAGAGCUCGUAGGUGGUUUGUCGCGUCGUCUGUGAAAUUCCGGGGCUUAACUCCGGGCGUGCAGGCGAUACGGGCAUAACUUGAGUACUGUAGGGGAGACUGGAAUUCCUGGUGUAGCGGGGAAAUGCGCAGAUAUCAGGAGGAACACCGGUGGCGAAGGGGGUUGUCUGGGCGGUAACUGACGCUGAGGAGCGAAAGCAUGGGUAGCGAACAGGAUUAGAUACCCUGGUAGUCCAUGCCGUAAACGGUGGGCGCUAGGUGUAGGGGUCUUCCACGACUUCUGUGCCGUAGCUAACGCAUUAAGCGCCCCGCCUGGGGAGUACGGCCGCAAGGCUAAAACUCAAAUGAAUUGACGGGG